GAUGGUUUACAACAAAGAUCUUUCUCAAAUUUUCUUAUUAGUUCUGUCCUUGUGAACCCGAGAAGGAGUUUCUCAAAUUCUCGGGUUGAGGUUUGAUGCUAUCUCUGUUCGGAUAGCAUGUGUUAGUGAAGUUAAUCCAUAUAUGAUUAUGUUGUUGACCUUUGUGAUAAGAGAUAUCUUUAUUCCCUUCUCUGUUUGUCCUUCUUAAUGUCGUUAAAUUUGACAAAUCUUUCAUUUGUUUCCACUAGCCCUUCAGAGAUACAUGGCUUAAUGAUUUCUACCUUUAUGAAAUUAUUUCAAAAUGAUUUGGAUGGAGGGCUCCGAGUAUUGAUACUAAUCUUGAUUUAAUUCCAUUUUAAGUUCUUUCAAAUAAUAUUAAUUGACUCGAUAUACUUGCCAUCACUUUAGGCACCCAAUCACUUUAGGCACCCACGUACUUUGUGAGGUAAGGCUCAACCAUCCCAGAAAAGGAAUAAGAUGUAACAAAGAUCUACAUUCAACUUGAAGGUUAAAGGUUAACAACAGGACAAAUAAUGUUCUGAUGAAAUUCCAACCAGAACAAAAGUAAGUUUUUUUCCAAAAGUUCAAGUUUCUAAAUUCAUCGUAAAAGCUUUGUAUUUUAUAAUUUAAAGGUACUUCUAUUCAUCCUCCCUUGGUUCGUGUGUUUUUCCAAAAGUUCAAGUUUCUAAAUUCAUCGUAAAAGCUUUGUAUUUUAUAAUUUAAAGGUACUUCUAUUCAUCCUCCCUUGGUUCGUGUGCUAAUUUUUUUUUAAUCAAUCUUCCUAUUUAGAAUUUUGUUGUUAGAUUUUCAAGUAAAUGACUAACUAAUGCUAUUUAUUUCAGGGACACAAGGGUAGUUGAUCAAAUAAGUAAAAGUGAGAAGAACCAAAACUUUGAAAAAUGACUUGAAAUGAUUGUUUUUUUAUACACCUUCCAAACUAUUUGUUUGGAAAUUAUAUAAUACUCUACUUUUCUUCUAUUUCUUUAUAAUAAAAUAACUAAGCUCUUAUAUAUAUAUAUAUAUAUAUAUAUAUAUUAUUGACUUUGCUCAUUCUUUUGUUGUUAUUGGUUUGAGGUCCUGCGAUGGUCACAAGCUCGAGCUCCAAAAUUGAAUGUGAUGGUUUACAACAAAGAUAUUUCUCAAAUUUUCUUAUUAGUUCUGUCCGUGAGAACCCGAGAAGGAGUUUCUCGAAUUCUCGGGUUGAGGUUUCAUGCCAUCUCUGUUCGGAUAGCAUGUGUUAGUGAAGUUAAUCCAUAUAUGAAUAUGUUGGUGACCUUGGUGAUAAGUGAUAUCUUUAUUCCCUUUUCUGUUUGUCCUUCUUAAUGUCGUUAAAUUUGACAAAUCUUUCAUUUGUUUCCACUAGCCCUUCGGAGAUCCAUGUCUUAAUGAUUUCUAUAUUUAUGAAAUUAUUUCAAAAUUAUUUGGAUGUAGGGUUCCUAGUAUUGAUACUAAUCUUGAUUUAAUUACAUUUUAAGUUCUUACAAAUAUUAUUGACCGGAUAUGCUUGUACUUUGUGAUGUAAGGCUCAACCAUCCCAGAAAAGGAAGAUGUAACAAAGAUCUACAUUCAACUUGAAGGUUAAAGGUUAACAACAGGACAAAUAAUGUUCUGAUGAAAUUCCAACCAGAACAAAAGGACACAAGGGACACAAGGGUAGUGGAUCAAAUAAGUAAAAGUGAGAAGAACCAAAUCUUUGAAAAAUGACUUGAAACGGUCGUUUUUUUAUACACCUUCCAAACAAUUUGUUUGGAAAUUGUAUAAUACUCUACUUUUCUUCUAUUUCUUUAUAAUAAAAUAACUAAGCUCUUAUAUAGAUAUAUUAGACUUUGCUCAUUCUUUCAUUGUUAUUGAUUUGCUGUCCUGCGAUGGUCACAAGCUCGAGCUCCAAAAUUGAAUGUGAUGGUUUACAACAAAGAUCUUUCUCAAAUUUUCUUAGUAGUUCUGGCCUUGUGAACCCGGGAAGGAGUUUCUCAAAUUCUCGGGUUGAGGUUUGAUGCCAUCUCUGUUCGGAUAGCAUGUGUUAGUGAAGUUAAUCCAUAUAUGAAUAUGUUGGUGACCUUGGUGAUAAGAGAUAUCUUUAUUCCCUUCUCUGUUUUUCCUUAAUGUCGUUAAAUUUGACAAAUCGUUCAUUUGUUUCCACUAGCACUUCGGAGAUACAUGUCUUAAUGAUUUCUACCUUUAUGAAAUUAUUUCAAAAUGAUUUGGAUGGAGGGCUCCGAGUAUUGAUACUAAUCUUGAUUUAAUUACAUUUUAAGUUCUUUCAAAUAUUAUUAAUUGACUAGAUAUGCUUGCCAUCACUUUAGGCACCCAAUUACUUUGUGAGGUAAGGCUCAACCAUCCCA